rnacentral:misc_RNA from 1 species
CACGUAGGGGGCAAGCGUUGUCCGGAAUUAUUGGGCGUAAAGAGCUCGUAGGCGGCUCGGUAAGUCGGGUGUGAAAGUUCAGGGCUCAACCCUGAGAUGCCAUUCGAUACUGCCGUGGCUAGAGUCCGGUAGAGGAGCGUGGAAUUCCUGGUGUAGCGGUGAAAUGCGUAGAUACUCGGAGGAACACCAGUGGCGAAGGCGGCUACCUGGACGGGUACUGACGCUGAGGCGCGAAAGCAUGGGGAGCAAACAGG